ACUCCAUUUCCAGAUAACCUCAACUGGAUAACCAAGAAUCUUCAUAGCUAGUUUGGAUGUGUUAUUUACAUUUUGUCUAAAUCACUCCUCUUUCAAAGGACCUUCAGAGCCAGUGACAGUAUGAAGAAAUAGCCAGCCUAAAUAACCUCACCAUUUAGUUACCAGAGGUUUCUUUGAAUUAAGCCUGAGUAGUGCUGCUAAAGAAUAACUUAGAAGAACCUACAGUAACUGAAAUCCAUAGCUUAAGACUUGGAAAACAAAGCCUGGGUCCCAGCACUGAAAAACACAGCCUGCAAAAGGUCAACGAACUCUACUCAGCCACAAGGACCAGUGAUCACUGCACACAAAAGACCAGCUAAUGACACCCAUCAAUCACAGUGACAGAUAAUCUCUCCCCCUUAUCACAACAAUACACCCACAAAAAAAAACUUGCUGAUCACCAUAAUCACUCAAUCUCCAGAACAGGACAAAAAGCUGAUCCCACAGCUAUAAAUACUUAACUAUCCCACAAACUGCACCAGAGUUCGGACUCCUGUCCUCUGAAGAUGCCAGCAACAGAGACUGGCAAAAGGUUAGGAAGAAAAACCUCAAGAACACGGCCAGACAGCCCGAAAAAUAUACAACAACCACUUGGAAAACAGUUAGGAAUUCACAGUAUUACUAUAUUUCUAAAAGGGUGGGAUUGCAAAAGAUGAAUGAGGAAGUGGACAUUUAUGUAUCUUGGCAGGGCAGAAUGAAGUAAUACAGGUUCUUGAUUUCUGUCUUGAGGGAAGCAUCUUUCACAAACAUGACAGUUGACUUUUCCCCUGUUUUCCUAACUUAUUUAAAUGAAAUUCAGCAGCUUUUUGCCCCAUCUCCAUCUCACCACACCAAAGGCACCAUGAAGACAUUUGGCAGCUUGCUCCUUGUGAGCAUCAUGAUCCUUUGGGUUGAAAUGCCGUGUGGAACGUUGGAACAGGAGACAGAAGGAAGGCUUCGGAUUUGCCCAAUAGAUCUAUGUAGAUGCAGUGGUCCUCUACCUGACGAGUGCACAGAUCAUUUUUCUUGCAAAAGAGGGCUGGUUUGUUGUUAUUCUUGCUGUAAAAAGCGCUGUGUGAAGCCAGCAACAGAAAAACCUGGUCAAUGUCCUCCUGCUAUCGCAAUUGCAUGUUUGAAACCACAGAGAGAUGAAUGCAGAGUGGAUGCUCAAUGUCCACGUAAACAGAAAUGUUGUUAUAAACCCUGCCGUCUCAGUUGUGUAGAUCCAAUAUAAAGGUAACUGAUUCUGAGUCUGUGAAAGUCCAAGUAGGAAGAAAUGCUACAUGCCAGAUGCACACUCUGUAGAUUGUUAAAGAAGGCUUCACUGGAGUUAACGGAGAAAUCCCAUCACCCUGGUUGAGAGCAGAAUGGCUUAACUGUACACAUUUUAGGAAAUGAUGCACCUGAUACUUUGGCUAUAUUCACAGCUACCCCUUAAGCACAAAAAGUGGCAAAGCCUAUGUGAUGCCAAAGCAGGUAUAAUUUGUUAAAUAGGAAAGCUGCUAAAUGAUCCGUUCUCCAAGCACAAAUAUAUAUUCACUAAAAAAUAAUUCCAAAGUCAACAAAAGUAAAAGAAUUAUGUUAACUCUGAAGACAAUAGCUGCAAUCUGAUUGGUAUGCACUACAGUUUGUGUAACUUGCUGCGGCUAAUUGCAACUAAAUGAUGAGGUGCCAGGGUGCAUCUUAGUUACAUCAUCAGGUGCAUGACUGGACACACAAUGCAGAGGUUCAUUGACACAUGGUCGAUUAGCUGUAGCACGUUAUACAAACAUAACACACAUAAAUAGCAUUUUGGCUUAUAUUUUCUUGCAAUAACAUUUUCUUUUAACACACGAAGCAGAAACCAGUGAUAUGCCACUGGCUUUCAGCAGCAAGUCAUAUCAUUUGUGCUAAAAUUUUGCAUGUAUUUUUUUCUGGAAGUCUAAAGGGCCAGAAAGAACACUUGAGAGGUGCAUAUAGCUGGAUCUCAUGGGUGCACCUAGCCGACAGGCUGGACUUUGUCCCCUUCCUCCUAGAAUGUGCAAGAGAAGAGUAGGUUAAGCUACUUGGUUGAAGACUGAUUCUUUUCUUUUCUUUUCUUCAAGAUAAACUAACGUCUGGAUGAGCACCGGAACUAAUUGUGCUUUUAAAAAGAUGUCACCAUCUCUCUGCUGGCUUGGCAAGAUAUUCUGGCAUAAUACUAACAUUUCUGCAUCCAAAUAUUCUCUCUAUCCUAUGCGCAUACACCAAUUUCC
ensembl:lncRNA